AGAAGAUAUAAGAAUGAUAGUAAUAAGCUUUGGAAAGAGGUAAUGGAUCACAGGUAUAGGACUAGUAAUGUCAAUAUCAGUCUAAUACUGUAGGCACCUCUUCCAAAAUGGGGUAUAAAUGGAUCAUAGGUAAUUGGCUACUAGUAAAGUGAGAUUUGGGGAGGAUGAUUGGAUAGGAAACCCUAGCUUGGCUACUCAAUAUUGGAAAUUGUACAGAGUAUGAAUGAGAGAAAUAGAUCAGUUGCUAGUCUUUGGGAUGGUGUACAGAGUAAUAUUCAAUAUUGGAAACUGUACAGAGUAAUAUUGGAAACUCUAGCUUGGCUAUUCAAUAUUGCUAGAUUUGUGGGAUGAGGUCUGUCAAUUAGCUUCUACAAUUAGUUCUAGUGAUGAGGAAGACUCCCUAGUAUGGCAGUUCACUAGUAAUGGAAUUUACUCUGUACAGAAAUAGUGUGUCAAUACUAUUUAGCAUCCAAAAUGCAGCAGAAGUAUUCUUGGAGAAGUAUGGAUAUGCUUCUCUUCAGGGUAGCUGCGAUGGUUCAAAAAAUGGGAGAUAAUGUGCCAAGAGGAGAAGAAAGCUAUUCUACAAAUAAAGGUUGCUCAGAUCAAGGAAGCUGCUGCCCAAUUGCUGUCGUUGCCGAAAUAGAAGCCAAGACUUAUCAGGCGUGGAGUCACUCGGGAGGAAUGCUGGACACCAAGGUCAAGAUCCUGAUGAUCUGAUGAUGGUGCCUAAAAAAGAUGGAGGGAGUUCUAUUUUUCCUUUUGCUUUAGUCGUUUUUUAUUUUUAUUUUUUGACAAGUCCUUUUGCUUUAGUCGUUGUAGUCGUUCUUGCCAUCAGUUUUAGCUUUCUGAAAAGUCGUAUGGAGGUUCCGAGAUUGGCAAGUUUGAUGUAAGUGAACAGAUGGUUUCCCCAUCUGCUGCACUGUAAACUGAUAUGCUGUCUUUUGGCAAUGGUUAAAAGGUGAGGGCUUGGCCUUAGAAUUCUAAAACAAAACAUGGAUAAGUGGAAGUUGCUGACUUGAACUGUUCGCUAGGUGGAAGAGAGGAUAUGUGAGUAUGUGACAGUUAAAGGCAUAACCAGAGGCUCCCAUGGGUCAUGACUCAUGAGUUAAGG
rnacentral:lncRNA from 1 species